GGACGGGACUCGGUAUCCGUGCCAAGAGGCUGCUAACGAGAACGAUUCGGCCCUUCGAUCUCCUGACCAGAGAUGGGGGCACCCACUCGCAUUCCCCGAGAGUCACCCAGGCAGCAGCAUGCACGAGUGCCCACAAUCCUGAAAUAACGUAGCAACGAUGACGUAGGAAUAAUCCGUUACACCGAUGCUCGAUAAUCUCGGAGUGCUUUAAGGGAUAUAACGAUAUACCAGAUGCCUGGUCUUUUAAUUUCUGCAUAAUGUCUUCAUUCUCGGCUUUAUUGCUAAAGCCAGCGAAUACAGUGAAGCCCUUAAAAAAGAAGAAAGUUAUAUAAAGAAAGCUACAUUGCUUUUAAAUUAUCCAAUUGCUAUAUAUUUUACGCGUACACUACCAAAUCAUCCAGCUGUUUAGCUAAUGCAUAUCCGACUCGUGAAUCGCAACCUGUGAUUAGUACUGCUUUUCCUGCUGCAGUAACCUGUUACAUCAAGUAGACCGUGAUGCGUGUUUGAAAACAUAGUGUAAUUUGUUAAAUCAUGAUGUAAUGAAGCUUCAUAACUGGUUUUAAAGCUAUUGAUCGGGCAAGAUAAUCAUAAAGUCCUUU